rnacentral:snRNA from 1 species
GUGCUCGCUUCAGCAGCACAUAUACUAAAAUUGGAACAGUACAGAGAUUAGCAUGGCUCCUGCGCAAGGCUGAUAUGCAGAUUUGUAAAGCAUUCCAUAUUUUU